rnacentral:rRNA from 1 species
GACAGAGGUGGCAAGCGUUGUUCGGAAUUACUGGGCGUAAAGGGCGCGUAGGCGGCCUGCUAAGUCGAACGAUGAAAGUCCCUGGGCUCAACCCAGGAACUGCGUCCGAUACUGGUUGGCUUGAAUCCGGGAGAGGGACGUGGAAUUCCAGGUGUAGCGGUGAAAUGCGUAGAUAUCUGGAGGAACACCGGUGGCGAAGGCGACGUCCUGGACCGGCAUUGACGCUGAGGCGCGAAAGCCAGGGGAGACAAACGGGG